rnacentral:tRNA from 2 species
GGCCCCGUAGCUCAGACGGAUAGAGCAGCGGUUUCCUAAACCGCGUGCCGCUGGUUCGACUCCAGCCGGGGCCACCA